rnacentral:rRNA from 1 species
UACGGAGGGAGCUAGCGUUGUUCGGAAUUACUGGGCGUAAAGCGCGCGUAGGCGGUUACUCAAGUCAGAGGUGAAAGCCCGGAGCUCAACUCCGGAACUGCCUUUGAAACUGCAUAGCUAGAAUCUUGGAGAGGCGAGUGGAAUUCCGAGUGUAGAGGUGAAAUUCGUAGAUAUUCGGAAGAACACCAGUGGCGAAGGCGACUCGCUGGACAAGUAUUGACGCUGAGGUGCGAAAGCGUGGGGAGCAAACAGG